rnacentral:lncRNA from 1 species
AUAACUUAUUAGCACAACAAUUUUGCUUUUUUUUUUCAAUGCUUUUUACUUUUCUUUUCUUUUUCUCUUUUCUUUUUAUUUUCUUUCUCUUUUUCAAUUUUUUUUCUUUUUCUUUCUCAACCUCUUAGCAACCAACCUUUUUCUCUCCAACUUGAAUACAACCAAGUAUUGCAAUGUGAAUUCUCCCAAACUUUCUAAGGCAAGGGUUAAAAUCCCAACCAUAAUUUAUGAUUGAUGGUUCAAGUGUUUCAAGAAACAAAC